rnacentral:rRNA from 1 species
AUUGAACGCUGGCGGUAUGCCUAACACAUGCAAGUCGAACGGCAGCACGGGAACAACUCUCUUGGAGGGUGGCGGACGGGCGGGUGGUUGAUGAGAACGUCUCAUGCUGCUGGGGCUAGGGGGGCAACAGCGGGAAUCUUACGCUAAUAGCUCAUACGAGGUAAGGGGGGAAUCUUAGGAUCUUCGGACCUUGCGCCGGUGGAUGGCCCGAUGUCGGAUUAGCGAGUUGGCGGGGUAAAGGCCCACCAAGGCGACGAUCGGUAGCUGGUCUGAGAGGAUGAUCAGCCACACUGGAACUGAGACACGGCCCAGACUCCUACGGGAGGCAGCAGUGGGGAAUAUUGGACAAUGGGGGCAACCCUGAUCCAGCAAUGCCGCGUGGGUGAAGAAGGCCUUCGGGUUGUAAAGCACUUUUGUCCGGAAAGAAAAGGAGCAGGUUAAUACCCCGGUGUUAUGACGGUACCGAAAGAAUAAGCACCGGCUAACUUCGUG